rnacentral:rRNA from 1 species
UACGUAGGGUGCAAGCGUUAAUCGGAAUUACUGGGCGUAAAGCGUGCGCAGGCGGUUUUGUAAGUUUGUCGUGAAAUCCCCGGGCUUAACCUGGGAAUUGCGAUGAAGACUGCAAGGCUAGAAUCUGGCAGAGGGGGGUAGAAUUCCACGUGUAGCAGUGAAAUGCGUAGAGAUGUGGAGGAACACCGAUGGCGAAGGCAGCCCCCUGGGAUAACACUGACGCUCAUGCACGAAAGCGUGGGGAGCAAACAGG